rnacentral:lncRNA from 12 species
AUGUUUUCUCGUUCCCUUGUUCUAUCUAUUCAUCGUUUUUAUGUUUUCUCGUUCUCUCGUCCUAUCUCUUCUUUCUUUUUAUGUUUUCUUGUUGCCUCGCUCUUUUUUCUUUCAUUCUUUAUUUUUUCGUUCCCUCGUUCUUUCUAUUAUUUCAUUUUUACUUUCUCAUUACCUCGUUCUUCUAUUCUUUCAUUUUCUUAUUUCUUCUUCCCUCGUUCUUUCUAUUCUUUUAUUUGUUUUCUCGUUCCCUUGUUCUUUCUAUUUUUCAUUUUCUAUUUUCUCAUUCUGUCAUUUUUUCUAUUCCUCUUUUUUCUAUUUCUCGUUCCCUCGUUCUUUCUAUUUAUCUUUUUUAUGUUUUCGCGUUCCCUCGUUCUUUCUAUCCCUUUUUUUUUUGCAUUCUCGUUCCUUUGUUCUUUCUAUUCCUCAUUUUUAGGUUUUCUCGUUCCCUCGUUCUUUCUGUUUUUUCAUUUUCUAUUUUCUCAUUCCGUCAUUCUUUCUAAUAAUUCAUUUUCUGCUUUGGCAUUCGGUUUUCUCGUUCCCUCGUCCUUUCUGUUUUUUCAUUUUCUAUUUUCUCAUUCCGUCAUUCUUUCUAAUAAUUCAUUUUCUGCUUUGGCAUUCCCUCGUUUUUUCUAUUCUUUCUUUUUCUAUUUUCUCGUUCCCUCGUUCUUUCUAUUCCUCCUUUUGAUGUUUUCUCCUUCCCUCGUUCUUUCUAUUCAUUUAUUUUCCAUGUUCUUGUUCCACCUUUCUUUCUAUUCCUUUUUUCCAUGUUUUCUCGUUCCCUCGUUUUUUUCUAUUCCUUCUUUUUUAGUUUCCUCAUUCCCUUUUUCUUUUUUUCUCUUUUUUAUAUUUUCUUGUUCCUUCGUUGUUUCUAUUUUAUCAUUUUCUAUUUUCUCGUUCCCUUCUCCUUUCUAUUCCUUCUUUUUCUAUUUUCUCGUUCCCUCGUUCUUUCUAUUCUUUCAUUUUCUAUUUUCGCGUUCCCUCGUUCUUUCUAUUCCUCCUUUUUCUCUCUAUCCCUUGUUCUUCGUAUUCCUGCUUUUUAUGUUUUCUCAUUACCUCGUUCUUUCUAUUCUUUCAUUUUCUAUUUUCUCAUUCCCUCGUUCUUUCUAUUCUUUCUUUCUCUAUUUUGUCUUUCCCUCGUUCUUUCUAUACCUCCUUUUUUUUUGUUUCCUCGUACCCUCGUUCUUUCUAUUAUUUCAUUUUCCAUUUUCUCGUUUCCUCAUUCUUUCUUUUCUUUCUUUUUCUAUUUACUCGUUCCCUCGUUCUUUCUAUUCUUUCUUAUUCUAUUUUCUCUUUCUCUCGUUGUUUCUAUUCCUCCAUUUUCUAUUUUCUCUCUCCCUCAUUCUUUCUAUUCCUCCUUUUUAUGUUUUCUCGUUCUCUCAUUCUUUCUAUUCUUUAAUUUUCCAUUUUCUCAUUGCCUCAUUCUUUCUAUUCCUCCUUGUUAUGUUUUCUCAUUCCCUCUCUUUCUAUUCCUCGUUUUUAUGUUUUCACUUUCCCUCGUUCUAUUUUUUCAUUUUCCAUUUUCUCGUUCCCUCUUUCUUUCUAUUCCUCCAUUUUAUUUUUUCUCAUUCCCUCGUUCUUUCUAUUCCUCCUUUUUAUAUUUUCUCAUUCGUUCAUUUGUUGUAUUCUAUAAUUUUCUGUUUUCUCCUUCCCUCGUUCUUUCUAGUUUUUCCUUUUUCUCUUUCUUCAUUCCCUUGUUCUUUCUCUUUCUUCUUUUUUAUGUUUUCUCGUUCCCUCAUUCUUUCUAUUCCCUUUUUUAGGUUUUCUUGUUCUCUCAUUCUUUCUAUUCUUUCUUUAUCUUUUUUUCUUGUUACCUCGUUCUUUCUAUUCUUUCAGGUUUUCUUGUUCUCUCAUUCUUUCUAUUCUUUCUUUAUCUUUUUUUCUUGUUACCUCGUUCUUUCUAUUCUUUCAUUUUCUAUUUUCUCGUUCCCUCAUUCUUUCUAUUCCUCCUUUUUUACGUUUUCUCAUUCCUUCGUUCUGUCUAUUCCUCCUUUUUUUAUUUCCUCGUUCCUUUGUUCUUUCUAUUCCACCUUUUUCUAUUUUCUCGUUCCCUCAUUCUUUAUAUUCUUUCAUUUUCCAUUUUCUCGUUCCCUCGUUCUUUCUAUUCUUUUUUUUAAUGUUUUCUCGUUCCAUCGUUCUUUCUAUUCUUUCUUUUUUGUUUUCUUCUUGUUCCCUUGUUCUUUCUACAAGCCAGAUCAACUUUGUGCCAAGAUGCUGGAUGGUAAUGGAAGAAUAAUAUCCUCAGGGCACUGAAACUUGCCAGAUUUUGCUACAAAUCUAAAGCUAAAUCUCUGACUUUCCAGAGGUACCUGCAUUUUUUCCACUGAUGUCUGAUGGACUGACAUACUCUAUUUGAAAGACAGCAAAGCAGGUUUUCCAUAUUGGCCCAGGAUGGAGAAUUCCAAGGAUUUUCCACUCAGCCAUGGGUAUGUCAGACGGGCUUAGUUGGAUGCAAUAAAAAUACAGAACUUCUCAAGAUGGAAAAUGUUACACUAAUUCUUUAAAAGAAUAGGGCAGGAAUAUAUGACAUGGGGAAUUGAACAGAACACUGCUCUUCAUGCCUUUUAAGCCUAACACACCACUCUUGAAAAGGAGGGUGUCAGGGUUUGAGAAGAUAACUAGUAAUCCCUAUCUUUUAGAAUGGACCAGAAGUCCUAAUAAAC